CCUUUACAUAUAAAUAAGAUUUAAAAGAAUUUACUUAUUUUUAUGGCUUUGAAGGCCAUUAGUUUAUA
rnacentral:tRNA from 1 species